GCGCCGGUCAGAUUGGUGGCUUAGUUUAGGCUUACGGGCAUACAGAAGGAGACUUAACCUUCACGGAGGCUCAAAUCUGUUCUGUGCCGCAGGCUGGAUUCUGCUUUACUGGUUGUUUGAGGAACAGAAGCUUCCAUAUGCUGGUUAGGAUCCACCGCUGAAGUUAACAGAUCCGAUAUGACAGCUCGGCCGCAGGAAGAAACGAGGCGCGCCGCCAUACGACGGAGCGGGAGGAGAAAGAAAAGGUGGUGGAGAAUCGGCUCGGUGCAAUCAGAGCCACUUUAGAGCACCGAGUGGGUCCGUCGUCUCGGUGAGGAAGAGAGAAAAACCGACGGUGAUCCAGUGGAGAGAACACGUGACGCACGCUGGAACACAAGAGCAACAGCUCGGAGCAAGAAGUGACUACCUCAGUCAGAUGUGUCACACACGGUCACAUCUGGGUCCUCCUUAAAGUGUCGAACUGUCCUCUGUGUCCUUGUUUACAUGCAUCUCAGAUGCUCGUUUCCCACCAUGCUGGUGUACAUAUUAUUCCUCAUAGUUGGCUUUCAGUUUUUAAAUAUUUUAAAGUAAAAGGUUUGUGCUCCUUUACAGGUUUCUGAGUAAAAACAAAGAUCUCCUUUCAAAUGAUUUCAUUUAUUAAGGAACCAAUUCUAUUCAAACCAACCUGGCCUUAUAUGGAAAAGUAAUGACCCCCUGAACCUAAUAACUAGUUGUUCCACCCUUGGAAACAACAGCUGCCUUCAAGGGUUUUUGAUGAGUCUUUAACAUCACUGUGGAGGCAUUUGGACCUACUCGGCUGUGCAGAUUUCGUUUCGCCACAUUGAAUAGUUUUCCAGCAUAAUGGCCUAUUUAAGGCCAUGCCACAGCAUCUCAAGUUCUGAUUUAGGUUCAGGCUUUGGCUAGACCGCUCCAAACCCUUCAUUUAGCUUCUUAGGCCCUUCAAAUGGGGUCUUGCAGGUGUGUUUGGGAUUAUAAGGCUAGAGAGCAGAAUCCCUGGUUCUUUCACCAACAGUAAGGUCUUGAAGCAACAAAGCAGCCCCAGACAUCACACUGCCACCACCAUGUUGUACUUUUGGUAUUGCGUUCUGUUUCUGAAAU